GGACCUUCCUCUGCCUACCAGCCAGCAACUGAAGGAGAUGUCUGUGUGAGUUCAUGGCUUGUGGUGAGGGGAAAACCUCCCGACCUCCUUGCCGUGGUGCUUGGUGUCUGUCUGCCUCCUGGGGAGGUUCGACGUUAGAAGAGAAAUAUGCUGGAAAGUUCUUUAUUGUAAGAACAGGCAGCAGGAGCACACUUGCCAUCCCUAUGCAGCUCCGGGCUGUUGGUAGGAUCUCCACGUGGCUGUGGUUUGGUGCCUGUCCCAGCAGAACUGGCCGUGGACCCAGAGCUGCCUCCCUGCUGCUCAUGGACACCAUCAGUGGGGUUUGCGUUGGGCUGACACCCACGCCUUCACCCCACCUUGGUGAGGAGCAGACAGGACCCUGGUGUCUUGGGGAUGCUCUGCUCCUGGUGGACUGGGAUGCAGUUCCUCAGUGAGAGCAGCUGGCUUCUUCCUCUUGAUGUCAGGAAGCUGGGCCAGACAUCAGCGGGUCAGUGAGUGCCCCACCACCGGCUGGUGCCCAGCAGUAAGAGCUCACUGGAUGCCACGGGGAAGGUGCAAGGAUCUCGCCCACCUCCAUGCAGCAAGGCAAGCCGGGUUGCAUGCCACAGCCAAACAAGUGCUUCUGAACUCCUACAGACACUGAAGGAAAGAGCCUGGCUCAGAAAAAAUGUGAUGAAGCAGAGCUUAGAGCCCAGGCACCCGUACAGCUCUGCCUUCUCCUUCAGGUAAGCGCCUUCAGGAUGGUCCCAGUCCUGAGGGCUGCUCAGCACCUUAUGCUGUUUGCUGUCCUUCCGAUAGCAGCCGUGGCUGGUUACCAUCUGGAACUCCCCAGCCUUGGGCAUCCUCUUUUCCUCUUCUGAUGCAGGCUGAGUUGUGGGGCAGCCUGUGGUGGAAGAGAUGAGGGCAACGGGAGGCAUUCAGCUCGCUGAGUGCAGGGAACAGGUCGGAAAAAAACAAAUCAUUAGCAAAAAUACAUGUGUAAAUUUAAACUUCUUAACUACAGCCAAAUUAAGACUAGGACAAUCCUGAGUCCACUGGCCAGUCAACACAUGCUUUGAUGUUUUCUGUAAUUAUUAUUUUUAUCUACAGAGCGCUUCAGUAGGGAUUAUUUUCAGGGCAAAUUGCAUCACAUUUCUAGCUGACACUUAUAUAAUUAACUAAGCCAGUAAAGCAUAGAUUAAAUAUUAUGUAUGCAUAUUUAUUUUUUUAGCUUUGCAUUUAGUAUUUGUAAUUACAUAUUUGACUAAAGCAGCUGUAGCUCAUGUUAUGUGGUUUGUUGUGCCAGUUAUCCAGCCAGGAAGCAGGGACUGCUAACUGUGGUCCCUGCAGCUGAUCGACGUAAAGCAGCUCCAGGUCCUACACCUGAAUGUAAACAUGAGCUAAAAAUGCACUAGUAAAGUCUGAGAUCAUAUUUCUGAAUUUGAAUUAAUAAGUGUAAAUCACUCUUCCCGUAUUUGAGCAGUUACAACAAGCUGUGUUUUCUUAAAAACAAACAAA